AAAUCUGGCCCCUAGGGUCCGAGUUGUAAUUUGUAGAGGAUGCUUUUGGUGAGGUGCCGCCCGAGUUCCCUGGAACGGGACGCCACAGAGGGUGAGAGCCCCGUCUGGCUGGCCGCCGAGCCUCUGUAAAGCUCCUUCGACGAGUCGAGUAGUUUGGGAAUGCUGCUCAAAAUGGGAGGUAUAUGUCUUCUAAAGCUAAAUAUUGGCCAGAGACCGAUAGCGCACAAGUAGAGUGAUCGAAAGAUGAAAAGCACCUUGAAAAGAGGGUUAAAUAGUACGUGAAAUUGUUGAAAGGGAAGCGCUUGUGACCAGACUUGGGCGCGGCGGAUCAUCCGGGGUUCUCUCCGGUGCACUUCGCCGCGUCUAGGCCAGCAUCAGUUCGUCGCGGGGGAAAAAGGCUUCGGGAACGUGGCUCCUCCGGGAGUGUUAUAGCCCGUUGCAUAAUACCCUGCGGUGGACUGAGGACCGCGCAUCUGCAAGGAUGCUGGCGU
rnacentral:rRNA from 1 species